rnacentral:lncRNA from 1 species
GAGCACUUUGCAAUUGAACGGAGGUCCCUAAGGUUUUUUUGAGCCCCCACUGCAGCGCCUAUGAUCCAUAUCUGGUCCUUGCUUCCUUCUGCAGGAUUAUUCCAGUUUCUGUCUUGUGAGAAGAUUUCCUUUAGUUGUGGGAAUUGGGGGAAAAACCCUUAUUGUAUUCUUUGAAUCUAGUGCUGAGUGUGUGAGAAGCUGGACCACCUCUACCUGUUGUUUGGACAUCCUUAACUAAGGACCUAAAUUCAGCCAGAGCCAAAGACGGGGGCAAGGAAGUUUCUCACAAUUAGGCAUCUUAAGCAAUGCAUAUGUCUAUAAGCAGGUUCCAUACUGAUUAAUUAAAAAUAAUAUUUUAAUUAAUUAUUUUUAAUUUAAUUUAUUUUAUAUAUAAAAUAAAAUAUAAAUAAAUCAAUAC